rnacentral:rRNA from 1 species
UCGGAUUGGAGUCUGCAACCCGACUCCAUGAAGCUGGAUUCGCUAGUAAUCGCGCAUCAGCCACGGCGCGGUGAAUAUGUUCCCGGGCCUUGUACACACCGCCCGUCAAGCCAUGGGAGCCGGGGGUACCUGAAGUGCGUGACCGCAAGGAGCGCCCUAAGGUAAAACCGGUGACUGGGGCUAAGUCGUAACAAGGUACC